CUAGUAGACUGGCCUCAUGACACCCAUCCACAAGGCCUGAGGUGGUGCUCUAGUAACCUGGCCUCAUGACACCCAUCCACAAGGCCUGAGGUGGUGCUCUAGUAACCUGGCCUCAUGACACCCAUCCACAAGGCCUGAGGUGGUGCUCUAGUAACCUGGCCUCAUGACACCCAUCCACAAGGCCUGAGGUGGUGCCCUAGUAGACUGGCCUCAUGACACCCAUCCACAAGGCCUGAGGUGGUGCUCUAGUAACCUGGCCUCAUGACACCCAUCCACAAGGCCUGAGGUGGUGCUCUAGUAACCUGGCCUCAUGACACCCAUCCACAAGGCCUGAGGUGGUGCUCUAGUAACCUGGCCUCAUGACACCCAUCCACAAGGCCUGAGGUGGUGCUCUAGUAACCUGGCCUCAUGACACCCAUCCACAAGGCCUGAGGUGGUGCUCUAGUAACCUGGCCUCAUGACACCCAUCCACAAGGCCUGAGGUGGUGCUCUAGUAACCUGGCCUCAUGACACCCAUCCACAAGGCCUGAGGUGGUGCUCUAGUAACCUGGCCUCAUGACACCCAUCCACAAGGCCUGAGGUGGUGCUCUAGUAACCUGGCCUCAUGACACCCAUCCACAAGGCCUGAGGUGGUGCCCUAGUAGCCUGGCCUCAUGACACCCAUCCACAAGGCCUGAGGUGGUGCCCUAGUAGCCUGGCCUCAUGACACCCAUCCACAAGGCCUGAGGUGGUGCCCUAGUAGCCUGGCCUCAUGACACCCAUCCACAAGGCCUGAGGUGGUGCCCUAGUAGCCUGGCCUCAUGACACCAAUCCACAAGGCCUGAGGUGGUGCCCUAGUAGACUGGCCUCAAAUAUGUUUGUGUUGUCUUGGCAACUCAACAACCAUAGGAGUAGACCAUACAGCACAAACACAUCUGGGACCAGGCUACUGCCCUAGAUGUUGACUAGCAUGGCCUCACCUCCGAUGGACCAGGCUACUGCCCUAGAUGUUGACUAGCACGGCCUCACCUCCGAUGGACCAGGCUACUGCCCUAGAUGUUGACUAGCACGGCCUCACCUCCGAUGGACCAGGCUACUGCCCUAGAUGUUGACUAGCAUGGCCUCACCUCCGAUGGACCAGGCUACUGCCCUAGAUGUUGACUAGCACGGCCUCACCUCCGAUGGACCAGGCUACUGCCCUAGAUGCUGACUAGCAUGGCCUCACCUCCGAUGGACCAGGCUACUGCCCUAGAUGUUGACUAGCAUGGCCUCACCUCCGAUGGACCAGGCUACUGCCCU